rnacentral:rRNA from 1 species
UACGUAGGGACCAAGCGUUGUUCGGAUUUACUGGGCGUAAAGGGCGCGUAGGCGGCAUGACAAGUCACUUGUGAAAUCUCCGGGCUUAACUCGGAACGGUCAAGUGAUACUGUCGCGCUAGAGUGCGGAAGGGGCAAUCAGAAUUCUUGGUGUAGCGGUGAAAUGCGUAGAUAUCGGGAGGAACACCAGUGGCGAAGGCGACUACCUGGCCCAUUCUUGACGCUGAGGCGCGAAAGCUAGGGGAGCGAACGGG